GAUGAACGCUAGCGGCAGGCCUAAUACAUGCAAGUCGGACGGGAUUCAGGAGCUUGCUUCUGAUGAGAGUGGCGCACGGGUGCGUAACACGUAUGUAACCUACCUUUAUCAGGGGGAUAGCCUCUCGAAAGAGAGAUUAAGCCCGCAUAAACUCACAGCACAGCAUUGUGUAAUGAUCAAAUAUUUAUAGGAUAAAGAUGGGCAUGCGGAACAUUAGCUAGAUGGCGGGGUAACGGCCCACCAUGGCGACGAUGUUUAGGGGAUCUGAGAGGAUGGCCCCCCACACUGGUACUGAGACACGGACCAGACUCCUACGGGAGGCAGCAGUAAGGAAUAUUGGGCAAGGGGCGGAAGCCUGAACCAGCCAUGCCGCGUGCAGGAAGACGGCCGUACGGGUUGUAAACUGCUGUUAUACGGGAAUAAACCCAGAUACGUGUAUCUGGCUGAAUGUACUGUAAGAAUAAGGAUCGGCUAACUCCGUG
rnacentral:rRNA from 1 species